rnacentral:lncRNA from 1 species
GCCUCCUGAGUAGCUGGGAUUUCAGGCACCCACCACCACACCCGGCUAAUUUUUGUAUUUUUAGUAGAGACGAGGUUUCAACCCCUACUCAGGCUGGUGUCAAACUCCUGACCGCAAGUGAUCUGCCCACCUUGGCCUCCCAAAGUGUUGCAAUUACAGGCGUGAGCCACCAUGCCCAGCCUAACCCCUUGAUUUUCUGUUUCUCUUCCUCCACCGUGCGCAAAGCCUUUGACAGAGGGCCACGGAGGUGGCAGCACGGCGGGGGUCUCACUGUCUGGGUGGUGGUGAAAGCUCUGGAGAGCCAGCUGCAGAGAGAAGAUGUGGAUCUUAGGGACGGCCAAUGUCACCUUCACAGGAGAUUAGAGGCGCCAGCUUGGGGUAACCUUUUGGGGAAGGAGGGCUCAAAAAGAGGAACAAUGAAACAGAACUAAGGUGAGUUCUCCUGUGCCCAGUUUCAGAGGUCAAGGAGAGUAGUAGAUAGCUCAAACCCAACUCAGCCAUUGAAGACAGGGUUUCACUAUGUUGGCCAGGAUGUUCAACAACUUCUGCCUUCAAGCGAUCUUCCCUCCUGGGCCUCCCCAAGUGCUGAGUUUACAAGCAUCAGCCACCACACCCAGCCUAUGACAUUUUCUUCAUUAUGGCUGGUACUGCCUCAUGAAAAGGGGGUUCCUCAUGCUGGAUCUGAACAACCCAGCACAGGCAAGUCUGGGGAGCAAGGCAGGAGCCUGCAUGUGGACUCAAAGGACCGGCACCCGAAACAAAGCAGUGGCUGGCACAGGUGGACAAACCAGGCAAGAAAAGCAACUGUCCUUCGGAGCAGAGUCCACGUGAUGGGAAGAAACAGACACAGUCUCACUCUGUUGCCCAGGCUGAAGUCAACGGCAUGAUCUCAGCUCACUGCAACCUCCACCUCCUGGGUUCAAGCAAUUCUCGUGCCUCAGCCUCCCAAGUAGCUUGGAUUACAGCUUUCUCUUUCCACAGGGUGGUUAGGAAGGUAGAAGGUAAUCCUGGAGCUUCCCGCCACCACGCAGGAGGAAUUUGCCUGAGAGCAAAGCCAGCAUAGAGAAGCAGAGCUGAGUCAUGGAGACAGGUGGCUGAAAGUUUCAUUUCGGCAUAUGGAUCUCACCAUUCCUGAAGCCACUUUCAACUCUUCAAUUUCAUAGCUAAUAAAUUCUCAUUUUUGCACAA